CCAUCACUUAAUAAAAUGUUUUCCUUUUCUUAUAAUUUAUUGAAAACAAUUUUUCUUUGUCUUAUCCGUGCGUAUCGCUGCUGCCACUCCCUCUUUCACAGCCACUCAUUCCACUGUGAGGGAGGAUUCCGACCAGGAGAAAUCUACCGUUCAGGUCCGUCGCCGGCGGCAAGACCGGAGCUGUAUAGCGCCGUCCAUCUCUGACGCGCUUCGCCGCCCAGAGCUGUCACGGCUAGCGCCACCCGUCUCCGGCGCGCUUCGCCGCCAUGAGCCGCGGGGUUCGAAGGCAGUAAGACAGAAAUCGCCGCCGCUCGCCUCCGGCACGCUGCGCGCGGCCUGUGGCCGUUGUAUUGGCUGGAGGCAAGAUGGGAUCCAUCACGGCUAGCUCCGUUCGCCUAAGGCACGCUGCGCCACGCCCGGCCAUGGACUUGGCCGGCGGCAAGACGGGGGCCGUCGCGGCUAGUGUCGCUCGCCUCCGGCACACCCAAGGCCAGCCCAAGGUUGUGGCUGAUCCGCUCCCUGUGAGAUGGUGGCACGGUGGAACUGCAGCGCGUGCAGCCGGCGGCUGAGAUUCCGUGGGAGUUCGCGUGGUCACAGUGGAAGAUGCGAACUCGAUGCAAACUCAACAGGCAAAGGCGCAAGAACAUACCUACGGACGAUGAAUUGGCAGGAGCUCCGUCCAUGCUGAAGAACACCGUAGAUGUUGAUCCACGGAGAGGACAAUUUCCUAUCAAUCUUGAUCUAUUCUCCUUUGAUCCGGGGGCAACAACAAUGGAAUAGAUUGGUACGAGAAAGGACGGAUGAAGCCAUGAAGAGAUUUUGGCGGCAAUCUGUUGUUACGCGGGAGAUAAACCUGUCGUUUUGCUGAUUUUCUAGAACUUAACUGCAAUUAUAGAGAUACGCUGGGUUGUUUAAGUGGUGGGGCCCUACCGGGACAGGUGUCGGACAUCCGUUGGCCCUGCACGAUAGUGCGUACUGGGAACCCUGCAGGAGAGCCCGACCCGUCAAAACCAUGCCACAUCAGCACAAAACCAUCUGAAUCCGUUUGAGGGACGAAAAUAUCCGGUUUUAAUAAUUGAAGGACUAGAUUUUUUUGGUUUUGUAGUUGAGAGACCAUUUCUAUACUAUCGGUAAAAUUGAGGGGCAAAAAAUAUACUUUUCCCUAUACUAAUUAAAGACGGUCUAUUUUUUUCUCACUCGAAAUCUUCUUAAUUAUCUCUAUUACUCUAUAUGUUGACAUACAUUCAUCUUUCUACCGUCGAAUGUUCGAGGAAUUUUUGAUAAAGCUUAAUCCGGAAGAAGAGUAGAUAAAACAUGAUUAACAUAGUACUCCCUCCGAUUCAUAUUACCCCACGAAGAAACAGGAGGCUUGCGAGUAGGGAUGAAAGCCGGGAAUCGGCAGCGUGGCAGACGUGCGCGGCGGCUCUGGCAAUGGUACACGAGGAGAGGUCGAUUAGCCCAUGUUGGCCUGGGUUUAACCCUAGGUAGAGCAGGGCCUUCUUAGUUGCCGCAGCGACUCUGGUAAUGUUUUCCUCUUGCUAUGCGGCGGCGACGACGACAAGCCCGUGCUGGCCUGGGCUUAACCCUAGGUAGAGCAGGGCCUUCCUCGUUGUCGCAGCGACUAGCAAUGUUUUUCCUCUUGCUGUGCGGCGGUCCUCUUGCUGUGCGGCGGCGGCGGACGCGGCUUCGAGCUUGCAGUCCUACGAGUGCCUCCGGCCCUUCUUCCUCUUAGGCCGACUGCACGACAUGCUGCUCAUCCGUCAACGACUUCUUCUUGGUCGGCACCACCGUCUUGUGGGCUACGUGGGGCUUGCCUUUGGCGGAAGCAGGCCGGAGGCAGCGUCGAGGAUCGGCAUGUCGUUCAUGACAAGCGGCCGGAAGCGUGAGUAAGCGGGAAUUUUUUGGGAAAGAGAGGGAAAUGAGGAUGGUUGUACCGCCGACUAGCAGACUAAGGGGAGGAGUAGGCAAGCGUUGUAGGUGCCAACGCAAACAAGGUCUAAAUUUGAACCAGGAUGAUCGCGCGACGGACAAAAAAUAGAUGUAGGCCACGUUUAGAUCAGCGUCUUGGACUGCCUUUUAUAUCCGUUUGGACCCAAACAAACAGGACUAAUUAGUCCGCGUUGGAGUUGCUCUGAGGCCCGUGUCCCACAUCGCGCGCGCAAGGUGUCCGCAAUUAUUUUCCUGUUCGCGCGCAGCUCGGCGAGUGGCGGGCGUGGAGGUCGCCUGCGCCGCCGACAUCGCAGCGACUCUCCGGCUGUGCUCUGCUCCACCACCCAACCACCCUUUCGACGUACUACUCCAGAAGGAUUCAGCCGGCUGUUACUGGAGCCCGCGCCGUGCCGCGCCCGUGCAGGUCAUCCUAUCAUAGGGAUAUUUCCUUGAUCCAUCUGGAGGAUUGUUUGAAGGUAUUUUGGUGUGAUUUUUCCAUUGGAAGUGAACUUCAUAUUUCCAUUGAAAAAAAAGUGUCCUCACAUAGAAAGAUGACUGCUAAUAACGGCAUUCUGAUUUUAAGUCCACUUGUUAUGUUCUGAUUUUUGCCAAAAAAGGUUUUCGCCUUGCUUUAUAUAUAAAGCAUCGAUCAUCAAGCACCCAGUACAAACACACGCCACCGCAACACACGCACACACCCAGGGCAGGAUACAUAGGCGCUGAGCGCAGCAACACCACCCCUAGCACUGUCACCACGAAGAGAUGAAGCUACAUAUGACGAACCAUGUGUUCCAAGGCGGCGUCUUCGGGAAGGGUACGACACCGGAGCGCCGCCACUGCUCGAUCCUAGUAUCAGAGUUUUCCCUGGAGCCGCAUGACGGGCAAUGAGAGCCGCGACGAUGCCUUCAAAAAGGGAACGAUCUUCGCCGCCGCCGGUCCGUCCGAAGAUAGAACAGGUUUUCACCUCGGCCAACACUCACUGGCAUCGAACGCCACACCUCGGCAACCAUGCGCCCACACGGCCAUGGUGACCGGGCAGCACCAAGGCACGGGCUCUCUGCCCAAGAGCACCGUGCUACCACCACUAGGGCCACCGCCUCGGCAUCCAAGACGUUAACACCACCUCACCCGAGACCCGCCGCAACCCCAACAAAAAAGACGAGCGGAAAGGUCCCACCUUUCGUACCCCUGGGCGACCCCCAGCGUCGAGACCCAACAGGCCGGCCAGAACUGGCAUCCACCGACCCGUCCUGCUACCCCGAGUGCGAGACGAGCUCGGUCCUGCAGCACCGGGAGGGGGACGAGGUCAGUCCUGCUGCACCGUGCGCGAGACGAGCUCAGUCCUGCGGCAUCGGGAGGGGGACGAGGUUAGUCCCGCUGCACCGUGCACGAGACGAGCUCGGUUCUGCAGCACCGGGCGUGAGACAAGCGGUGGACCACAACUGGGAGAGGACCAGCCCUUUGAUGGGAAUAGCGCCCGGGCGACGAGGAGAUGGCGAAGGUCGAGACGGUCCGAACACAGACGAACCGACGCCAAAGCAGAGUCCGGUCGUCGCCGUGGCCGAGACCACCGAACCAUCGUGUAGCCGACACGUCACAGGAAGGUCACCGCAAAGCCAAACCUCAUCGUGUCGCCGCCGCCCACGGCCAGAGCAGCCACCACGCUGAGCAACUGCCCCACCCGCACCAUCCGCCAGGAUCCACGCAUCAGAUCCGGCGCCAUCCACCACCAUCUUCCACAGAGCCGACCACGAGGUGCAGCGGCAACCAAAUCCACCGCCAGCCGAGCUCCCACGCGAGCCGAACCAGCCCGGCCGCCGUUGAGCCCAAGUCUCCCGGAGGCACACCAGGAGCCAGAUCUGGGCAUGCCCAGCCAUGGCCGCCGGCGCCCCUGGCCACCCUCGCGGACACGGAGCCGCCCGCGCAGCCACCAUGACCAGGCGGCGUCGCCUGCCGGCCGGUCGCCGCGCCGCCACGCCCCCCGCAUGCGCCGCGCCUCCACCUGGAUGCGUCGUCCCGCGCCACCCGCUGCCAAGCAAAGAGGAGAGGCCGCCCCACCGCCGGCGGCGGCAACCGGGCUUUGCCCGGCCGCGCCCUCAGGCGGCGGCGAGGGAGGGAGGAGGGGGAGGAGGCGGGGUCUCCGGCGGCGGCGGUUAGGUCUCCUCCCGUGACGGGAGCCUCUCUGUUUCGUCCUCUGUUUUCGUUGCACUGUUACUCUGAUUUUUUGUGAAUAGAAACUGUUGAUCAGUGAAUCUCUCUGUUACUCUGUCAGUACGGAGAGAACAGUCCAGAUACGAAGGGAUCAACACCAUGGCUCUGAUCAA